rnacentral:tRNA from 1 species
AGCUUAGUUUAAUGGAAAAACACCUGGUUGUGGCCCAGGAGAGCACGGGUUCG